UACGUAGGGGGCAAGCGUUGUCCGGAUUUAUUGGGCGUAAAGAGCGUGUAGGCGGCCUGACAGGUCUGCUGUGAAAACUCGAGGCUCAACCUCGAGAUGUCGGCGGAAACCUUCUGGCUAGAGUCCGGAAGAGGAGAGUGGAAUUCCCGGUGUAGCGGUGAAAUGCGCAGAUAUCAGGAAGAACACCUAUGGCGAAGGCAGCUCUCUGGGACGGUACUGACGCUGAGACGCGAAAGCGUGGGGAGCGAACAGG
rnacentral:rRNA from 1 species